rnacentral:rRNA from 1 species
UACGUAGGGACCAAGCGUUGUCCGGAAUCAUUGGGCGUAAAGCGCGCGUAGGCGGCCCGGUAAGUCCGUUGUAAAAGUCAAAGGCUCAACCUUUGAAUGCCGAUGGAUACUGCCGGGCUAGAGUCCGGAAGAGGCGAGUAGAAUUCCUGGUGUAGCGGUGGAAUGCGCAGAUAUCAGGAAGAACACCGACGGCGAAGGCAGCUCGCUGGGACG